CUCAUGCCAUGGUUUGAGAGCAAGUAUGUGGAAAAUGUACUGGUGACAGAACCGCAGCCUUGCUUUAAGUCCUGAGGUAAGGGGUUCACCUGAAAGAGUCCCUGUAAUAAUGGAGCGAUGAACAAAAAAAGAGAGCUGGGGAAAUGGAUGAUGCAUAAAUAGAAGCACAAAUAAUUCCAAAGGGUCUGCUGAAGAUAUCUGCCUUCUUUGCCCCUCUAAGCUGUAGGCUGUACAUGAAAAUCUGGAGUGAGAAUUAUUGAGCCAAAUUUCAUCAUCUGCCAGGUAACCCAUUCAAAGGUUCUGUUAUUCAGUGGUGUAAUCCUCCCUGCCUCCACUGAGCAUAGGAUCAGUCCUCUCUGUCUGAAGUUCUAUUUCCUGACUUGGGCUGGAGCACUGUGUACAUUGUACAGCACAAGAAGUAGGUCCUGAGCCAAGUCUUUACUCUUUGAAGAUGUCAUUAAAACCACCUCAAAGUCUCCCUGACUCACACUGUAUGAUUUUCAGGAAUUGCUUAAAGAACGUGUUGUGCACAGUGCAGGAGUGGAUGUGAUGAAUCCUGCAGAAAAAUACUGUUGGAGCAGCCCUCGAAUUGUUUUCCCAAGAUGACAAGAGAAACUCAACGGUUUAUUUCACAGAGGAUAAGUGAAAUGAUCUGCUUAUGAGCCAGUUCAGCCUUCUCUUGAGGAGCAGAGAAACAUGGAGGAGGAUCUGAGUUUGUUCAAAGGUGGUAGCUGUUGUCCAAGACCUGUAAGGAUCUGGUUGCAGCAAGCAAGAAUGUUGAGAUAUCUAUAGCCAUGCAGAGACUAAAGGACAUCCUGACUGCAAGUUGGAGGCUGGGCCCUUGGCUUGUUUUAUUCUGCAGAGGAAAUAUGUCAGUGCUCUCCAAGAACCCAGUAAAUUGCUCUUUCUGUGGUGUCUGGGAGAGCGAUGAAUUGCUCUCUCAGGGGUGUCACUAACUCUUAGGUUGCUUUUCAGUGCAUCACCGAAGUCUGUGUAUUGCAUAAAGUAAUUUUCACAUGAGAGAAGAGCAUUUUCUUAGCUGGGUUAGCUGUAAACUCACCCUAAGGGGCAUGGAGAACAAUGAAUGCAAGACUUUAAGUUGUCAGGUACAUGAUUGCACAUAAUACUAAUCUAAUCACAAGCUUUGAGAUGGAAAAAAAAUAGGAGAAAGGGAGGAAAUACACUAUCCCAGAGAGAGAUGCUGACACCGGACAAGCAGCAGGGAUAAUUCUUUCUGUUCUCUGAUAUAUUGGUGUGACUGCUGUUGUGCUUGGCAGAAAACACUCAGCCUAAAAAGCUGUAAACUUUACAGCUCUUUGCACUGUGUCGCUGUGUUAAAGAACCCAGUAGGGUGCAACUAUGGAAAAGGAUUUCUUGAAAAUCUUGUCAAUAUAUUUUGUCAUUCCUUGAUUGACUGAACUGCGAGCAUAAGCUGUGCAUUUUAAGACCAAUACUUUUGUUUUACAGAAUAACAGCAUGGAAACUAAAAUCCAUUACUUGGGGCAGAGUCAUGUCAUUAAGGUCAGAAAAGACCUCAAAGAUCCUUGAAUUCAGCCAUUAUCCCAUGCCCACCAUGCCCUCUAAGCCCCAGCACCAUGUUCUAUCCCAGCCAUAUUCCUCUCUUCAAUUUUACUGGAAAUGUCUUAGUAACAAACACUUCAAAAACAGAGUCAGAACAAUGCACAAGAAUUCAGCUCAGAAUGAAUUUGGUUGCAAUAUAUAAUUGAGCAGCAGAGUGAGAGAGUUUUGAAAUUAUGGAGUUGAUUUUAACAGUUAACACUAGCAUUAAAUACUCUAUAUUUUAAGCUCCUGCCUAUUGACAUUUAUAGAUAGAAAUAGUGAUCUGAAUUCCCCUUGUGGGUUUGGCAGAUAGGGUUGAAAGUUGUUUCAUUUUUGUAUGUAAUUUUCUUUUGGCAAGAACGUGUGCGGGUGGUGGAGGAGAGGUCAGUUUGUCUAUGUUUAUAGGUGCUGACAAGUUGUCUCAGAUUUAUUUUUAAUUCAGCUUGUUUAAAAAUUGCAUGGCAGUAUGUUUUGUUUUUUUUUAAAAUACACAAUUGCCAAAAGUUUUCAUGUUAAACUUUGUGUGUGUGCCAUUGCUUCCUAUGACAGAAACUGGCUUCGUUGAUGUAUAGUGCAUUAGUUAAACAAUAGCUGGUUAAACCUGAGCUUCCAGAAGUUCAGUCAUCACCUCCAUUUGUUGGAAAGUUAUGCAUUCUGUGGUUUUGGUGUGUCAUAAGAACUAGUUGAUGCUUCUACUAAUUAACCCAGUCAGUAAUGCAACUUUUUUAGAUAUUUCUUUUUUUACUGAUGUGAAUGAACUCUCACUGAGACGCGUUAUUCAAUGAGAAUAAAAAGAUUCAUUUUCCAGGUAUUUGAAAGAGAUUUUUCAGAGUUGGCAAAAAUGAUUAUGGAAGUUUUGCUUAUUUCUAAAGAAGAUGAAAUUCACAUAGUUUGGAGCAAUUUACAGAAGAAAUUUGUUGCAAUUAGAGGCAGAGGUAACCUGUAAGUGCUGUGAUUAUCUCAAGUGUUUUCAGCCCAUGUGGAUCACAACCAGCAUGGCUUUGUCCCUGAUUACUACAGAGGAGUUGGACUAAAUGACAUUUAACAGUCCUUUCCAACUUCACUGUAUGAUUUGCAUACAGGUGCUUGGGGAAGGUGAGUGAAGGAGCAGCUCUCCUGGAUGCAGCCCUUGCAGGCUGCUCUUGUAGGGCUACCACUGCCUUCUGCUGCACAGAGAGAAAACUGUUUUCAAGCACAAUAUUGGUAAAGGGAAUUGCUGCAGUACUGUGACCAGGCAGAUCUUCUCUCAGCUGUAUUGCGUUGUUACCGAAAUGGUAUAAAAUCAUUGUCAGAUUGAGAGCCAGGGGCUGCACAGAGUAGAGGCACUCUCUUCCUUAGAAUGGCAGUUUCAAAAGGCUUUGGGCCAAGCAUUGCAACUCUUUAAAAAUAAUAAUAAUAAUAAAUGAAUGUCCCCUUAUGAAAUUCAGUUGGAUAUUUCUAUCCAAUGUAAGCCAACUCAGGAUGUGAAGCAAUUAGCACUUCUGUAGAUGGUAAUCAUCCAUGGCAGUCUUACUUGGGUAGCUUUAGCCGCAGCUCUUUGGUUGCACCUUUUCUUUUUCUUUAUCCAGAAUGAGAUGUAUCACUUGACCAUGGACUGAUCUGAAAUGAAAACUUAGAUGAAGAGCAGUGCCAGUAGUAGUAAAUGGUUACGCUGCAGGAAUCAGAGCCAGCUGAAAAUUAGAAUUUUUGAAAGGGGGGUUGGAGUCUUAAUCUCAACCAGCUCUGGAAAAAUUGCAGCUCUGUUCUCCACAGGGAAGGAGGAGGGGGAAACGUUGAUUCAGAAAACAUGUGCUGCGCUCCACUGUAUAAAUCUGGAUUUCAAAAAUAAA